rnacentral:rRNA from 1 species
GACGAACGCUGGCGGCGUGCCUAAUACAUGCAAGUCGAACGCAGUGGGGACGGGUGAGUAACACGUGGGUAACCUCCCAUCAGAGGGGAUAACACUUGGAAACAGGUGCUAAACCGAUACUGAUGGAUGAACCCGCGGUGCAUUAGCUAGUUGGUGAGGUAACGGCUCACAAAGGCCACGAUGCAUAGCCGACCUGCGAGGGUGAUCGGCCACACGGGGAUUGAGACACGGCCCAGGCUCCUACGGGAGGCAGCAGUGGGGAAUAUUGGACAAUGGUCGGAAGCCUGAUGCAGCAAUGCCGCGUGUAUGAAGAAGGCUUUAGGAUUGUAAAGUUCUGUCAGCGGGGAAGCGGUACCCGCAGAAGAAGCACCGGCUAACUCCGUGCCAGCAGCCGCGGUAAUAC